rnacentral:tRNA from 1 species
CGCGGGGUAGAGCAGUUGGUAGCUCGUCGGGCUCAUAACCCGGAGGUCGUUGGUUCAAAUCCGGCCCCCGCAA